rnacentral:rRNA from 1 species
GACGAACGCUGGCGGCGUGCCUAAUACAUGCAAGUUGAGCGCUGAAGGUUGGUACUUGUACCGACUGGAUGAGCAGCGAACGGGUGAGUAACGCGUGGGGAAUCUGCCUUUGAGCGGGGGAACACAUUUGGAAACGAACGCUAAUACCGCAUAAAAACUUUAAACACAAGUUUUAAGUUAGAAAGAUGCAAUUGAAUCAUUCAAAGGUGAUCCCGCGGUGUAUUAGUUAGUUGGUGGGGUAAAGGAUCACCAAGGCGAGGAUAGGUAGCCGACCUGAGAGGAUGAUAAGCCGGCCUGAGACUGAGACACGGCACAAACGCCUACGGGUGGCAGCAGUAGUGAAACGUCGGCAAUCAACGAGAAACUGACCAAGAAAGGCCGCGUGAGUGAGGAAGAUUGUCGGAUCGGAAAACACGGUUGUUAGAGAAUAACGUUGGUGAGCGUGGAAAGCUCAUCAAGUGACGGUAACUACUCAGAAAGCGACGGCUAACUACGUG